AAAAUCGAGAAUAAAAAAUUCAUCUGCAUGGAAAAUAAACGUAUGCGUGCUUAAAGAGAUUUUUCUUACAAAAUUUCUUUUUUUCAUGUUUUUUGAGCUUUAUUUUUAUAAUCAUCAAAUUUCAAUGAUUAAUUUUCAUAGGUUGGACUAACAAAAUAUCCGUUCUGACGAUUUUUAAGUUCAUAUAUCAUAUUUUUAAUAUUUCGAUAUUUUCGUACAUUGAUUUGAAAAAUUAUAAGUUUUCGCGGGUGUGUUCAUAGCACAGAUGGCGUAUUGCGCAUGCGCGAGGUCCGCUUAAUUUCCUUACUGUUGGUGAACCUGCCAUUUUGAAUUAUAUUGUCUUACCGAUAACACUGGAGCUUUGACGUCUCGUUAAUUACAGAUAUUCAAGAAGCACCUAUGAAUUGAAAAAGAUCUAUGCAGUAUGUAAUAUCAACGCAACUACUCCUUUACACGUCUCUACACGUACAUGUAUACGAACGCAACGUCGAGUGGCCGAUUUGCAAUUUCUUUUUAAGAAGAGAGAAAUACGAAGGAAACAAAAAAAAAAAAAGAGAGAAAAAGAAAAUGAAGGAAAAACAUCGAUGCAAUAGAUCACAACGAAGGAUGAUGCAAGUGGGGGAAAAAAAAAAGAAAAAAGAUAAAAAUUAAGAAAAAUCAUUCUCAUCAUUUUGUAACAAGAAACAUUGAAAGCUGCAUGAUAAAAAACGUUGGU